AACGAACGCUGGCGGCAUGCCUAACACAUGCAAGUCGAACGCCAUGGUUUCGGCCAUGGAGUGGCGCACGGGUGAGUAACGCGUGGGAACCUGCCCAGCAGUAUGGGACAACCGCGGGAAACUGCGGCUAAUACCGUAUACGCCCGUCUUUGGGAGACCAGGGGCGGGGAAAGAUUGAUCGCUGUUGGAGGGGCCCGCGGCGGAUUAGGUAGUUGGUGGGGUGAAGGCCUACCAAGCCUGCGAUCCGUAGCUGGUCUGAGAGGAUGAUCAGCCACACUGGGACUGAGACACGGCCCAGACUCCUGCGGGAGGCAGCAGUGGGGAAUAUUGGACAAUGGGCGCAAGCCUGAUCCAGCAAUGCCGCGUGAGUGAUGAAGGCCUUAGGGUUGUAAAGCUCUUUCACACGCGACGAUGAUGACGGUAGCGUGAGAAGAAGCCCCGGCUAACUCCGUGCCAGCCGCCGCAGUAAUAC
rnacentral:rRNA from 1 species